UAACCUGCCUCACACAGGGGGAUAACAGUUAGAAAUGACUGCUAAUACCGCAUAAGCGCACGGUACCGCAUGGUACAGUGUGAAAAACUCCGGUGGUGUGAGAUGGAUCCGCGUCUGAUUAGGUAGUUGGUGAGGUAACGGCCCACCAAGCCGACGAUCAGUAGCCGACCUGAGAGGGUGACCGGCCACAUUGGGACUGAGACACGGCCCAAACUCCUACGGGAGGCAGCAGUGGGGAAUAUUGCACAAUGGGCGAAAGCCUGAUGCAGCAACGCCGCGUGAGUGAAGAAGUAUCUCGGUAUGUAAAGCUCUAUCAGCAGGGAAGAAAAUGACGGUACCUGACUAAGAAGCCCCGGCUAACUACGUGCCAGCAGCCGCGGUAAUACGUAGGGGGCAAGCGUUAUCCGGAUUUACUGGGUGUAAAGGGAGCGCAGACGGCACUGCAAGUCUGAAGUGAAAGCCCGGGGCUCAACCCCGGGACUGCUUUGGAAACUGUAGAGCUAGAGUGCUGGAGAGGCAAGCGGAAUUCCUAGUGUAGCGGUGAAAUGCGUAGAUAUUAGGAAGAACACCAGUGGCGAAGGCGGCUUGCUGGACAGUAACUGACGUUCAGGCUCGAAAGCGUGGGGAGCAAACAGGAUUAGAUACCCUGGUAGUCCACGCUGUAAACGAUGAAUACUAGGUGU
rnacentral:rRNA from 1 species